UCGUGUUUGAUAUCAGAGCCAACCGUUCCCAUAUGUUUGAUAUAUGUUCAUUAGCCAUUUCAUGUUUCAUUAAUCGCCACAUGGCUCUCUGUCUCAGAUGUGUGAUCAUUAUGCCUGUCUCAUCCUGUCAUGUCAUUCUCUGUGCAUUUAGUUUCUUUGGUUUCCCCACCUCUCAUUCUCACUGACAGUUAGUCAGCGUCCCAAAUGGAACCCUAUUCCCUUUAUAGUGCACUAUGUUUGACUAGAGCCCAUAGGGAAUAGGAUGCAAUUUGGGACGCACAAUGUGUGUGUCACAUGUGGAGUUACCGGUAAUUUACCCAAGUUACUGUAAUCUUCUGUGAUUUUGGUAAGUAACAGGUAAUCUAUGGUAACUUUGGUAAUUUAUACUUGAGUCAUUUAAAAAAGAUUUAUUAAUAUGUAGUAUUUUUUUUUUAUAUCUGUGUCCAUAUUGUCCAUGAGUUUCUAGUGGAUGGACCAUAUGGUACAAGAGAAAAUUGCCCAAUUAAUGAAAAAAGCAUCUAAUCAACUAUGGCAUUAUUUUCAAUUAACUCUGCAACUCUUCCAACGGUUUACUUUUUUCACCAGUUUGCCGCCACAACAUUAAAUAACAACAAAGACAUAUUGACAAAUAAAUACAUAAAGGAUAUUUCAUGUUGAAAGUCAUAUUAAACACCAGUGGUCUUCACUGAGAUGAUGGUUUAUACUUAGGAUCUAGUUUUACUUUGUCAUUUAUUUUGUAUUUUAAAAUCUUAUUUGAUUAUUUUAUACAUUUUUAUCUGUGAUAGGGACAGAGAUAAUGACAGACACCUGUGAUAACCUGAAGUACCCAAAAGAACUACAUAAAACUAUUGUUGAAACUUCAAAAGUUUCCAGUAAGAUACUCUCCCUUUUGCAACCCUAGUCACAGGGAAGCUUGCCAAGCAGCUUUUAUAGCAGGGCCUGCACUUUCUGUUGAGUGACAAGUAUCUGUCUACUGGAGUAAUGACGAGAGUAUUUGGCAGGGAUACAGCCAGGGUAGUUUGGCUGGGUGUUUGUCUGCCUAUACCUUACCAGUGUUUCAGUGUCAGAAUUGUGUCAGUGGCUAUGUUGAACAUGACUUGUAUAUAAUUAAGGGCUUGUUCUUUCUCUCUAACACCAGACCCACCAAGGGAGGCCUAGACACUGAGAGAUGCCAACGGACACACACACCAGCAACUGACGAGGAGAAACACAUGCAUGGAUGACUAUGGGAGCCCCACUCUAAUGCAAUGGAGACCAAGCAAAAACACACAUAUGCGCGUGCGCACACACACAUACACACACACACACUUCCCGCAGUCGACUCCCCUUGCCUGUCAAGUGAAUGUUAUCUGUUGAUUCUCAACAGUACCGACAAUGACUCACUGGAAAACACACACAGAUGUGUUAUUUCUGAAGCACCAUAUAACCAAAUAGUAGUAAUGAGAAAAAGGCCUGUUUCAGGCGAGACACUCCAGGCCGCGUGUACGUGGCCUCUCCCAUUCAGCAUGUUCAGAGCGAGAAUGAGGCACGACCACAACAAUGAGGACUUGAAAUGUUUCCGUUCGUGUCUGUGUGUGUGUUGCUCCUUGUGACUAGAAUAAACAGCAAAAAGGACAGAAAAAGAGACCCCUUGCUGGACUGAUUCCAAUUGAAUGGACUUGGCCCCUGGGAACUACUGUGUGAAAAUUCAGAAGGAAAAAAGCCCCUCUGCGACUUGCUUUAUUUAAUAUUUCCAUGGAAGUAUUUAUGUGGUGACUUUCUGUUUACAGAUGCUUCUCUUGACACCACUCAAUUAAGGGGAUUCGCCUCGGCGCCUGGGCUUCAGGAGCAAUGCUCAACUAACUAUGAAGGAGACCCCACAAAUGGAUGGGCUGCUUAUUAAUUAAGUGCUUUUAUGCGACUUAAAUGACUCGGAAAAUAAUAACGCCCAUGCGUGGAGGAGGUCAGCACAAAGAGGCUGCUGAGCUGCCACGUUUUCCCCGACUAAGCAAAGCAAAACAAUUUCCUCUGGGACUACGAUGCUCGUUUGUGUGGGGGAUUAGCACAUUAAAAGGGAUCUCUAUUGGAAAGAAUCUUAGUUUUCUUUUGAACAAAAUGUAUAUUUAAUGUUUUUAUUUUUCUGUUACGUGCUAAAUAUGUUGGACUGCUAUUGCAACAUGUGUCUUUGUGACUCAGGGAGGCUGUUUUAUACUAAAAUAUAUGUUCCAUUAAAAUACAGAAAAGAGGAUAAAUAUGGUUUUUAAAGAUUAGGGGUCUCCAUUGAACAUACUUUUUCCAGGACUAGGCCGCCCCCAUAUGUUUUGUUGAUGAUAAUAAAGUAUUUUGAUUUACAGGAAAAUACUGUAUGUCAGUGUAUUACAUGGCAUUCAUGUUGAUAUAAUGUUACCUACCUAAUGGCAUCAUCUUAACUGCUUCUGAAAUAAUCUCCAGGCAUUCUGAUCUUCAGCUGUUACAAAUAUUCCCAGAAUAUUGUAUUUAAUUAACAGUUUUUGAGUUGAAGAAUCUGCACUGUAAAAAUGUCCCUUCAUAAUUACUGCACAAUUAUUUGCAAGUUGCCAGGUUAAUACUGUAAUAUAGCUUUUACAGCAGAGAUUUUCCUUCCUGUAAAACAUGUUACAGUAUUCCUGCUGUAAAUGUGGGCACCUGAUUCCAUGGCAGAAUUUAGUGGAUGUGUCAUGGUUGAUUGAUAGAGUGAAUAUGCCCACUGAAUCUCAAGCCAUAUCUUAAAGCAAUAACAAUAAGGAAGAUAUGUUGACCUCUGCAUUCAGGACUACGAGUAGGAGAAAGUCCUUUCCAGAAAUUAGUAGCUGCGUUGAACUUUUGAAUCCUGUUUUGUAUGUGCUGACACUUGGUGAGUGAGAAAGGUUGAAUUGAAUAAAAUACUGUUAUGUUUUUGUGAGUAUCCCUUUAGGGAGUUGUUGACUUUCCACAUUAGUGAAAUGUAUGUCUGUUUCCUCAGUUUGUUAUGGAGGAAUUAGGAGUUUCUGGCUUGCUGUUCUAUCAGUCCCUCAGCACAGCUCCCACUUUGGCUCCACCCAGCGCUCCUGACCCAGACGAGCCAGUGCUGCUCAUCGUGUGUGUAACCCUUGCUGUGGUUUUGGUGGUGGUUUUUCUGGGGAUCUACUAUGGCUUCCAACGCCACAGUGCUAAGAAAAACAGAACUGACGUCACCAGGAGACAUGGGUCCGUGAGGACGAGUCCUGAAGGACUGGCUGGAACAUAGACGUGUUUGUCUGCACAGGAUGUGCAUCUGCAUGCAAAUGUAUUGGCUGAAGCCCAGUAGCAACGUAUUCCAAAUGGCACCCUAUUCCCUAUUUAGUGAAACUAUUUUGACCAGAGCCCUAUGAGUCCUGGUCAAAAUGAGUGUACUAUAAAGGGAAUAGGGUGCCAUUUCUAACACAGCCAUAAUUUCAACAGAGUCUGGAGUUAAGUAUAACAUCAGUCUGUCUGCAAUAAACAUUUUGAGCAGCAAAAUCAGACAGGAGUUUUUAUAUAUUGUAACUCCACUAGGGGGAGCCAAACAUGCAAGAGAGACUUCAGGGGCCUCAUCGAUGAGAGCAAAUGUACUUAUUUGUAUUUAUUUUUUUUGCCUCCAAGGUCUUUUCUUUUAGGUAGGAUUUUACGACACUGCUUGUUCAAUAUCACAAAAUUAAAACAAUAGACUUGCGCCAUCGGCAAGGAAUCCCUUGGCUGCAAUUCAAUAAAUAUACUGAACACAGAUAAGACUGUGUUGAAUAGCAACAAGGAAACCCACAGUCAUGUUUAGCUCGUCUAAAAAAAUGAUCACAGUCAGAUAUUGAUGUAAACCACAACAGAGAGAACAGGAACCCAAGACAGAGCAUGCUUGGACUAUUUCCUGGCUACAGACAACGUCAACAUCCUACAUUUUCUCUUGCGUUGAUGCACAGAUGGUUAUUUUUAUAAUGCCAGACAUACUGUAGCAGAAGAGCAUCCACUGAAAUAUGAACAUGAAUGGUCAACAAAAAAUAAUAAAAUAGGCUUGUUUUCAAUAGAUACUUUCCUGCUGUAUUUUUGCUGAAUUUUACAUCUUUUAUUUUUGCGAUCCAUUUGUGACCGUA